rnacentral:rRNA from 1 species
UACAGAGGUCUCAACCGUUGUUCGGAUUCAUUGGGCGUAAAGGGUGCGUAGGCGGUCGUGCAAGUCGGAUGUGAAAUCUCAGGGCUCAACCCUGAAACUGCAUUCGAUACUGCGUGGCUAGAGUGCUGGAGAGGAGACUGGAAUUUACGGUGUAGCAGUGAAAUGCGUAGAUAUCGUAAGGAAGACCAGUGGCGAAGGCGAGUCUCUGGACUGAUACUGACGCUCAUGCACGAAAGCGUGGGGAGCAAACAGG